rnacentral:piRNA from 1 species
UCAGGUUCUCAUGCUUGUGGAUCAGGC